GAUGAACGCUGGCGGCAGGCUUAAUACAUGCAAGUUGAACGGUAACAUUUUGUAGCAAUACAGAGAUGACGAGUAGCGUACGGGUGCGUAACACGUGUGCAACCUACCUUAUACAGGAACAAAACGUUGAGAAAUUAGCGCUAAUAUUCCAUAAUAUUAUUGAUAGGCAUCUAUUUAUAAUUAAAGCUCAGGUGGUAUAAGAUGGGCACGCGUUCCAUUAGCUAGUUGGUAAGGUAACGGCUUACCAAGGCAACGAUAGAUAGGGGUUCUGAGAGGAUACACCCCCACACUGGAACUGAGACACGGUCCAGACUCCUACGGGAGGCAGCAGUAAGGAAUAUUGGGCAAUGGAGGCAACUCUGACCCAGCCAUGCCGCGUGCAGGAAGACAGUCUUAUGGAUUGUAAACUGCUUUUAAUAGGGAAUAAUUUCGAUUAUGUAUAGUUGAUUGCAGGUACCUAUAGAAUCAGCAUCGGCUAACUCCGUG
rnacentral:rRNA from 1 species